CUGACCCCAUCUUGGCUGUCCUUCUGCAAGCAGGCAAAUAGACCUUUCUCUUCAGGCAAGCUUUCUUUCAGUAAUUGGCUAUUUGAGAAAGCUGCCUCUGCACCUCACUACAGCCAUCAUUCUGAAAUCUACUAAUAUUUCUCUGGAGACUUAGGUCUGGGUCCAAUCCUUCUGAUGGUGUCUUUGUAAGCGUGAUUACCAUAUCUAUUUAUAGGUCCAGUUGGUUAGAAGACCUCAACCUGAAGCAACGGCCAGCUUUUGCAGGCAUAGAUUGCCUGAGCUUCUCCUACUUGCCUUUCACAAGAGUGCCAUCACAUCUUCCAUGAGUACCAUC